rnacentral:lncRNA from 1 species
CAAUAUUAAAAUUAAAUUACCCUUAAGCCGAGUCUUAGGCUUAUUCAUGCUAGGUACAUACGCAUCACCUCUUUUUCAAGCAUUAACUAAGCUGAAAUUUAAAAGCUCCUUAUGUGAUAGUGGUCGAAGAUUAAAGAAAACAGUAAUGAAAAAUAAAACCAUUAAUUCUAGCUUGUACCAAGUAUUAAAAAGGAGAACGCACCUUCGCAAUUAACUGCAACCUGCACUGGGACAAUGUUAUUUGCCAACUAUUGUUGAUAACUACAUAUCUCUAAACCCAAACUUAAGGAUCUGUUUGAUUGACGGAAUUGAUUUUUCGGAAAAUCAUUUCUAACUUUUCUAGCGUUUGUUUGGCGGAAAAUAUUUUCCAUUUGGAAAAUGAACUCCAAAACAUGGGUAAAAUCAAAGCCAAUUUUCGGAAAAUGUCUUACCGAUUUCUAAGCCGUAAGACAUUUUCCCUUCUCUUCUAAGCAGUGGUUCUCCCUUCCUCAAAGCCUCCGCCUCUCCUCCUCAUCUCUACCUCGCUAUCUCUGUCUCUCAGCUUCGUCUUCCUUCUUCAUCUUUCUGCUCCAUAGAUCAGUUCCGGUGAGUCACCCAUAUGCUUUAAGUUUUUUUUUUGGCUCAAUUAUUUCUAAAUUUCGCUUUCUGUUCAGUCCGAUAUGAUGAUCAAUUUUCUAAAUUUCUAAAUUGCUAAUGGAUUAAUGAAAUGGGGUUAGGGUCCGUUUGUUAAACCAUGUAUGGAGGAAUUUUAUGAGUUUACAGCUUAAAAUGGGUUAAUGAAAUGGGGUUAUUGAUAUUUUGGUAUUUUCCAAAAAUUGGAAAAAGGAUGAAAACUCAUCCUCUUCUUCCCAACACUACUCGACCCCCACUUCUUCACUAAGGGAAGCUUUCCCUUUUAAUUUUCUUGAAUUAAAAUUGUUUUGAUCUUUUAUUUCUUGAAUAUUAAAAAUUGUUAGCAGCUCAUAUAUAGACUUUUUGCUUGAGAAACAAACCAAUCAAAAAUUUUCUUGAAUUAAAAUUGUUUUGAUCGACAUUCAUGUGGUUUGAGUUUUGUAUUCGUUUAUGAACAAAAGUAGUUAUGUAAUGUAAAAUUUUCUCGAUAAUUUUUAUUUGAGUUCUGAGCCCUAAGCUAAAUUGCUGUAAAUUUCAUCCAAUAACAUAUAAUAUGUAUAUAGAUAGAUAAGAUUGCUUGAUAUUGCAUUACUUUGUGAUUUGCUUUUACUUUGGGGAAAUUACUUAACAGUUAAGUGCAUUGAGCUAGUGUUGCUAGUACCUCUUCUUCAGUAAUGAAUAUUUUGAGUGUCUUUCAGAGAAAUGCUAUAAUGAAUUUGGCUUUGUCAUACAGCAACUAGUUUUUGUAAGUAGUUUAAGUAGGCCACGUUUAAGUUCGAACCAGCGACUUCCCGGAGUUUUGCUGCGAGUAAGAGGCACGUCCAUUUCUUCAAACAGGUUGGUGCUUAAAGCUCUUUGCAUGUUUCAAAUUCAUAGCACUUGUAUUGGUUGUAUUUACUAUGAUUAUUUACCAUGUCAAGCAGAACUAGUAAUUCUGCAAGUUUGAAACUCAUAGGAUUUGCAUUAAUGCACUUCAGGCACUUUUAAUGCUUUUGCUGCACUAGUUGAACUAAAAAUGUAUCCACCAUUCUUGCUUUGACACCAAUUUCAAUUCAACCCGUUUAAAUUCUCGACAACAUAUGAUAUCUAUAAUUUUUUGAACUCUAUUAGAAUCCAAAUCAUGACUUUACUUUUUUGUUCUACUUUUAUUUCAUGGGAUAUGUUGAGUGGUGCAAAAUGAUCAAAAGGGAGGCAACUAUUAGACUAUCAACUUGUGUCAUAAUCUGUAUAGGACCAUUCAGUGUCAUAUAUGGUUGAUUGUGAUCCAUUAUUAUUGUUGCAUCCAUAAAAUUAAAUUCUUUUAGGCAGUUGACUUGUUAUUGGCUGAUUUUAAUUCAUAAGAUCAGUGGUGGGCUUCAUUCAACUUCAUUGUUUAGUUUCCAGCGUUGGUCUUAAUACUCACUGCAUUUGCUUACUUAUGUCCUUGGUAUUUGUUGUGCUUUUUACUUGCAAGUUUAAUACAACGUAACAUAUGUUAACCAAAACAGAGUGUCAAUGGAGAAUUGAUGGUAGAUAUUUGGAAAUGCCAUUAUGUUUGGAGUUUUACCUAUAAUAGAAAAAGGCGGAGCAAGUAAGCUUUUCAAGUGCUUCAAUUUCUUCCAAUGAAUGCUUGAUUUAUGUUUGUGCAUGAACUGAGAUAUUGAGGCAGUAUUGCAACUUGUCAAUAGAUUUGCCUUCUUGAUCUUAUUCAACAUUGAGCCAAUGCAACUUGUCAAGAUUGAAGAUAUUGAUACGUCUUUUAAUGUGGUAUAAUAUUAAUUAUGCACUUGGACAAUGUUGUUAUUGUGUGUUGUACUACUAAUUAUGCAUUUGGAUAAUAUUAUUAAUUUCUAGUAUUAAUUGUGGUUUGGAAGCUAAUUUAUUCAAUCCUUAUUUUUUAUUUUUUUAUAACACAAUUGUAAAUAAUUUAUUUGACUUUGGUUGUUUUCAAUUUAUGACGGUUAAUAUUCUAGCUUAAUAAUUGAGUAUUAUUAUAUAUUUAAUUUGAUUUAUUUAUAAAUAAAUAAAUCAUUGCAAUAUAUGUAAAAAUAAUUUAAAAUAUAAAUUUAUUAAUAUAUAUUAAUAUAUGUAAAAAUAAUUUUUUUGGAAAAUAUUUUCAGGAAAUCUGCCAAACACCAGAAAAUAUUUUCCAGUAAAUCAUUUUACAGAAAAGUAAAACAUUUUCCAAAAAUCAUUUUACGAAAAACAUUUUACUGGCAAACAAACGGACCCUAAAUGUUUCUCUAAACCAAAAUCCUGCAAUAAUACAUCAUGAGGUGUUAAAGACUCAUUCUCUUCCAAAGCUGGUGGACACUGUGGAAAUGGAUUUUAAAAUUCAAAGAAUAAUACAUAAAAGAUAGGGAUUCUCAAGAACCCUUUCAUCAAGGUAGCAGUUAAAGGGAUAUCUCCACCUAAAGAAAUUAGAAAUCACCAGGUAAGCUACUAUAUUAGCACAAUGGCCAAAACAAACAACACAAGGGCGUCAUCCUUCACACACAUAUAAACACUCAAUCUCCCGCGAAGUUUUUUAUGGUGUAUUUGGAGGAGAUUCUCAUGUUAGGGGAAUCGAUGGAUUCAUAUACCAAACCUUUAGUUUUGUUUUCCCUUUUGCUCUUCAUCAAUAUUAAAAAGAAAGAAAUAAAUAGCAAAAUACAAUGAAGAAUCAGACAAGUUGAAGCGGGAAAUCACAAUAAAAACAGUUUCCACAAAUCUGAGCAUGCAUACAGACAGACAUCUCUAUUUAGAUGAUUAAAGUAGACCCUGGGGUCAGUAAAAAGUUCCAACAUUAAUCAGAUAAUAAAAUCAGUUGCAGAUCACAGGUUCUACAACUAGUUCAAAUGAAAGAAGGAACAAAAGGGAUUAAAAAGAAUGUCAAUUUCAUGGAAUAACUAAUUACAAAAAGAUGAACUAAUGGUAUUAUAAAUAUUCUUCUUUUCAUUCUCAUUUGCUUCUUCCUUUUCCAUUCGUUUUCCAACCUGUUAUUUUGGAUUAUUGUGAGUGAAUACUCCCAAUUUUCCAAACAAACAUGCUCCAUUUCUUAAUUUCUUAAGUAUGAAAUAAGAAAAAGUCCUAUAUGAUAAUAAAGGCAUUAGACAUAUUCAUAAGCUGAGCAUAUUACUAACAUAAUAUAUACAGCAGCCUCCCAUAUAAUAACGGUAAUUUGGUGCAUUUUCCCCUAUUAUUCGACAUCAAAAGACAAGUAGAAUAUAAUAGUUUCAAACACAAGGAGAGGGAAAAAGCCAACUUACAAGCCGGGAAAAAACAUGUAACAUACUAGAAAAUAGAUUCAAGCUUUGAGAAGAAUGAACAAACAAAGUAAAUAAAUCCUUACUAAUCAUGCUAAACAUGAAACAUCGCAAUACAAUUCAUUUUAAAAAAUCUGAGAUUAAUUACUAAUUAACUGGAAUACCAACAAACGACGAAACUAUCCAUAUAAUAAUGAAAAUAAAUUGGAAGCCAUACCAAUUUCAUAAACCCUAAUUUCAAAAAUAUGGAAGAGACAAGGGGGAAAGUGACGUGUAACCGAAAGGAAAAAGUUUUAAUCAACAAAAAUAAUGUUAAACGAUUAAGGGAAAAAAAGAAUAGAAUGUUUUACCUUUUGAAGCGGGGUGGAGAGAAACAGGCGAAGAAUUUCCAGCCAAAAAUUAGGCUCAAACUAAACGUUAACUGAUUUUAAUAAUUUGGAGGGAUUGGGGAAGAAAUAAAGGGAUGUGGGAAAUUGGAGAUUUCGAUUAGAAAGGGAUUUGGGAAGUUGGGAAAUUGAGGAAAAGAAAUUGGGGAAGAAUAGUUUAGGGAUUUUGAUCAGAAGUUGGGAAAUUGGGGAAAAGAAAUUGGGGAAAUCUAAUUUGGGGGAAAACCUAAAGGAAUUUCGGGUCUAAU